rnacentral:lncRNA from 10 species
GCAGGGCCAGAGCUGGACUUGGAGGUGUCCUGGUCUGAUUUGUCCUGCCCCAACAUUGGCCCAGCCCUGCUCUGGCACGUCCUGUCAUGCCCUGUCCCUGGCCUGAGCUCGCCCUGGCCCUACCCUCACCCUACCCUGGCCCCACCCUACCCUGGCCUUGCCCUGCCCUGGCCCUGCCUUUGGCCUGCCCUGGCUCUGGUUCUGCCCUGGCCUUGCCCUUGCCCUGGACCCUCCCUGGCCAUGUUUUUUCCAUGGUCCUUCUCUGGCCUUGCCCUUGCCCUGUCCCCUUUCUGGUCCUGCCAUGUUUCUGGCCCUGCCCUGUCCAUGUCCUGGACCUGACUCUGGCCCUGG